ACUGUGGUAUUCGGACCAGGAACCAAGCUCAUUGUUACUGACUCUACCCUCCCUCCGCCUGUCUUGACCAUCCUCCCUCCGUCCAGCGAUGAGUUGAAGUCCAGCAAAGUCACCCUGAUGUGUCUGGCCAGUCAGAUGGCCAUGGGCUACGCCGAUGUCAGCUGGACAGCGGGAGGGAAUCCGGUCACCGGCGGCAUCGCAACGAGUGGCCCGGUACCGCAAGCUGACAAGACGUUCCAGCUCAGCAGCUGUCUGACCGUUGACACGUCAGAAUGGAACCAGGACAAAGUGUUCUCAUGUAAAGUCACCGCGGGAUCCAAGUUCGCUGAGAAAGACAUCAAGAAGUCUGAAUGCAGCACUGAAUAGCCUGAGAUCCAUUGUAAUGUCAAUUUGAUAGUCUACAUCACUGUUCAAGUUAUUGUUAAUUCAUUACAAGUUUUACCUGCAUAUAUACAUUAUAUUCCAUAAAAGAUAAAUAGCUAAUCACACUGAUAUCAUUGGCUACAUGAUAAGUAGACUUGUUAUAUUUGAAAUGGGUUGUUUUGCAGAUGUAUAAUAGAGGAAUAGUUAGAGCUUUGCUGUAUUGUGGAUAUUCAAUAAAGAACAUUCUAAAGAA